GUUCCUGUGGUGCAGUGGGUCAGUGAGCCUGGCUGUUAAUCAGAAAGUUGGUGGUUCGAACCCACCCAGGGAUG
rnacentral:tRNA from 1 species